UCACAUUAGUUGGAGGGAAUUCGCGUUCGGUGCACCGGACGAGUGAAUCCGCGAAUCAGAGUCCUCCACGUCAACCAGGAGAAGGAACGCGUACCGUUAACGUUCCAAGCCCCGUUAAUCGGAUUUGGCGGUUCAACCAGCCGCAAAAUGACAAAAUGGAGAUCAAAACCCUUGACAAACCUUUUUUUGACUUUUCCCUCUGUAUUUUUCCCCAGGAGACCGAACCCUACCCAUACUGUGACUCGAACCAAUGGCCGUCGGCGGUUACUGCGAGAGCUUUAAUGAUCUCUUCAUGGUCGGGCUCGAGUUUGGGUUUUGCCAUAUACCGACACUGAAUCUAUAUAACUGAAGUUCUUUGAGUUAAAGUCUCUAAUAAAUAGUUUGAUCACUUGGUGGUUAGAGAUAAUAGAAAAUUUUGAAAGAUUCAAGAUGAUUGAACAUGGAAAAUACCCUAAUUUUAGACUAUGCAAAGGAGAAUCGGAAGAGCAAUUAAACCCGUGUUAGCGAGUACGAGUGUAGGACAUGGUGUUGUUGCCUAUGAAUAAAUUGGUUUUUGGAACUAAGUGGGAAGAUUCAAAAAGAGAUGUAUUGGUGGUGGAUUCGAAUUCAUCCCAACGCCGCCCUCUGAUGCUUUAUCAUAUCAGAAUUUGAAGAAUAGAACCGAAGAAUUAUCAAUGGACGAGGCAAAAAAUGGGCCAAAGGGGUGUGAACUGUGAACUGUGAACUGUGAAGAACUGGAGAGCUUCGGUGAAUAUUGAAUAGAGAUAAUCAGGAUAUCACCGUACCAAAUCAAAUACUUGCUUUGGUAUUUGAUUUGAGGUGAGAAAGAGACGCCGACAUGGAUGCAUGGUCAGGGUCUCAGGGAGGAGUCUAGAUCAGAUCCUCACAAAGGAACACUCUAUGAGGGACAGGGAGAGUAUCAUUUGAGUCUGAACUCCGAAUUGCGCACAACAAAAACCGUCAGAGCUCUCCUUGUCGCCGCCGAUGGCUGCCAGAGCAUAUAGGGGAAAAGCAAACAGGGUUUACUGCAUCGGCCACUUGAAAAGUUCGGUGGAAGGAGGAAAGCUUCAGGGAAAAUCACUAAAAAAUUUUACAGUAUGAAUUUGGCUUCGGUUUGUAUCCGGUUGGACUGUCAAAUCCAAAUUAACGCACGUUUAACUA